UACAUAAAUAGAGGAGCAGGUAAGUGGGUAGCUUUUAAAUGUUAAGAAAAAGAGCUUUCGAUUUUAAAAGUGAAGGGUUUAUCUGCCGAAAGAAUGUAUCAGCUCUUUUGGUAUGUUCUUGGGGGUUGAGUAGACUGGCUCAAUCACUGCCGUGAAAUAUUUAAUUUUAUGGAGCGCUAUUUAUGUG
rnacentral:ncRNA from 2 species